rnacentral:rRNA from 1 species
CCUACGGGUGGCAGCAGUGAGGAAUAUUGGUCAAUGGGCGCGAGCCUGAACCAGCCAAGUAGCGUGAAGGAUGACUGCCCUACGGGUUGUAAACUUCUUUUAUAAAGGAAUAAAGUGAGGCACGUGAGCCUUUUUGUAUGUACUUUAUGUAUCAGGAUAGGCUAACUUCGUUCCAGCAGCCGAGGUAAUACGGAGGAUCCGAGCGUUAACCGGAUUUAUUGGGUUGAAAGGGAGCGUAGAUGGGUUGUUAAGUCAGUUGUGAAAGUUUGCGGCUCAACCGUAGAAUUGCAAUUGAUACUGGCAGUCUUGAGUACAGUAGAGGUAGGCGGAAUUCGUGGUGUAGCGGUGAAAUGCUUAGAUAUCACGAAGAACUCCGAUGGCGAAGGCAGCUUACUAAACUGCCACUGACAUUGAUGCUCGAAAGUGUGGGUAUCAAACAGGAUUAGAUACCCGGGUAGUC